UACGUAGGUGGCAAGCGUUGUCCGGAAUUAUUGGGCGUAAAGCGCGCGCAGGCGGCCUUUUAAGUCUGAUGUGAAAGCCCCCGGCUCAACCGGGGAAGGUCAUUGGAAACUGAGAGGCUUGAGUACAGAAGAGGAAAGCGGAAUUCCACGUGUAGCGGUGAAAUGCGUAGAGAUGUGGAGGAACACCAGUGGCGAAGGCGACUUUCUGGGCUGUAACUGACGCUGAGGCGCGAAAGCGUGGGGAGCAAACAGG
rnacentral:rRNA from 1 species